GGCUGGCAGGGAGGGUGCAGGGAGGAGUCCCGGCAGGGAUAAAGGUGCUCCUCACCUGCUGCAGCCUCAGGCAGAGCUGCCCAGAGCCAGAGGAAGAUGAAGGUGGCUGUGCUCAGCGUGGCCCUGCUCUUCUCCAUCCUGCUGUGCCCCCCGACACAGGCCAAGGCACUCCUGAAAGGAACCCAAGAUGAUCUGCGGGAGUUGGAUUUAGACAAUGUCGUGGUCCUGGAGACGCCUCUGCCCCCUGUGGCUGAAGAGCUGCAGGCUCUCCUGCGGCAGAAGCACCUG